rnacentral:rRNA from 1 species
UCCUACGGGAGGCAGCAGUAGGGAAUCUUCCACAAUGGGCGAAAGCCUGAUGGAGCAACGCCGCGUGGGUGAAGAAGGUCUUCGGAUCGUAAAACCCUGUUGUUAGAGAAGAAAGUGCGUGAGAGUAACUGUUCACGUUUCGACGGUAUCUAACCAGAAAGCCACGGCCAACUACGUGCCAGCAGCCGCGGUAAUACGUAGGUGGCAAGCGUUAUCCGGAUUUAUUGGUCGUAAAGGGAACGCAGGCGGUCUUUUAUGUCUGAUGUGAAAGCCUUCGGCUUCAACGGAGUAGUGCAUUGG